rnacentral:rRNA from 1 species
AUUGAACGCUGGCGGAAUGCUUUACACAUGCAAGUCGAACGGCAGCACGGACUUCGGUCUGGUGGCGAGUGGCGAACGGGUGAGUAAUGUAUCGGAACGUGCCCAGUCGUGGGGGAUAACGUAGUGAAAAUUACGCUAAUACCGCAUACGAUCUAUGGAUGAAAGAGGGGGAUCGCAAGACUUCGCGCGAUUGGAACGGCCGAUAUCAGAUUAGGUAGUUGGUGGGGUAAAGGCCCACCAAGCCAACGAUCUGUAGCUGGUCUGAGAGGACGACCAGCCACACUGGAACUGAGACACGGUCCAGACUCCUACGGGAGGCAGCAGUGGGGAAUUUUGGACAAUGGGCGAAAGCCUGAUCCAGCCAUUCCGCGUGCAGGAUGAAGGCCCUCGGGUUGUAAACUGCUUUUGUACAGAACGAAAAGGUUUCUACUAAUACUAGGAGCUCAUGACGGUACUGUAAGAAUAAGCACCGGCUAACUACGUGCCAGCCGCCGCAGUAA